GAAAUCUUAUCGUGAUCAUUUGUAUGAAUAGAUUGCUUGAGUUGGAAGUUCAACGAAAAUUAAAGGCUCAAGUCAUGGAGUGAGUUUUCGAUAAAUUGAGGCAAGUGGAUUUCUAAAUUCUUGUUAAGUGUAUGAAAUGCGUGUAUGUCCUUGUGGUAUAUGUUGGGAGUAACGGGAUUGGUGAUGGGUUGACUUGUCCACAUUGAUUUAUUUUAAUAAUGAAAAGAAUGGGGAUAACAAAAGACAAUGUGAUUAAUUGUUUAUGUCUGUUGUGUUGAGAAAGGGUUGAAGGCUUGUUGAAUCAUUGUUGAUGUAACUUCAUGUUUGUGUGGUUGUGAACUGUGUGAUGUUAUGAAAAUGGUCAUCUCCUCAUUAUAUGUGUGAACUUGUCAUCUGCAUUAUUCUGAGGCAUUUGUUGUGACAAGUGUUAUGUGCAUUAAGAAAGAAUGGGUACUUAAGAGGAUGUACCAUUUCGAGGGACGUAUCGCGCGCCGCGAUGGAUACUAUAUUUCGAGGGACAUAUCGUGCGCCGCGAUGGUUACUAUUAUCGAGGGUCGUGUCGUGCGCCGCGACAGAUGCAUGGACAGAUAUGUCCCCAUGGGUCCCGGACUAAGAGACAGCGGGUGUGUAUCACUAGGUCAGACAUGCAUCAUUAUACUUGACAUUGCAUUCCAUUGCAUUGCACAUACUUAUCAUUAGUGAACUUAAUAUCGUAUUUUACCGAUCUUCUGAUUGCCUUUCUGCGGAACUUGUGAUUGAUUAAUAUUGAGCUUCUUAUUGCGGAUAUGUAAUUUGUUGAAGUAUUCUUGUUGAGGAUAUGUAAUUUGUUGAAGUGUUGUUGUUGAGGAUAUGUAAUUUGUCUAAGUGUUGUUAUUGAGCUACGUGCUAUGUAAACUGUGAGCUGUUAGGUUUGGUUGAUUUUAAUGCAGGUUGUAGUUGUGGAGGUUUUGUUGGGGGUGUUAGGAGUACUCGUAUUUUUAUCCUCUUAGCUUGUGUUUAGACGUUUUACUUGCUGAGUACCGUGUGGUUUGAUACUCACCCCUUGCUUCUACAAAUUUUUGUAGGUUACUAGCCCGGACUUUUAUGAUAUAUUCUCUUCUUUUCCGAGGCUUCCUGGAGAUUUUGUGAGGUAGUUGUUGGUCAUCUCAGCAUCCCUCCUUACUCUUGUUUAUGAUUUUGUUCUACUCUAGAAACAAUAUCAUAAGAGACUUAUAUUUUCUUUUGAUCCGAUUGUAAUACUUUAGAGGCUUGUACACGUGACAACCAGGUUUUGGGGUAUAAUGUAAGUUGAUAGUAAAUUUUCCGCAUUUUUAUUGUAAUAGUUGAGUUUUAGGCUUACUUGUCUUGGUGGGAUAAGACGAGUGUCAUCACGUCCAUUUGUGGGUCGUGACAAAAUCAUAAUAUAUGUACACUGUUAUAAAAUACUGCCUCCGUUUUAAAAAGAAUAACCUCCUUUCCUUUUUAGUCCACUUUAAAAUAACUUUUUUUUUGUAACAUUUUAAAAUAAGUUUUUCACGUGGCAUGUUUAAGGCCACAAGAUCAAAGGACAAUUUUGUACAUUUAACAUAACUUUAAUUUAGGACCAUAAGAUACAAGAAUCUUCUUUAUACUCUUAAACUCCGUGCCAAGACUAAUCAGGUCAUUCUUUGUGAAACAGAGGGAGUAACUAGCAGAACAAACUAAAAUUAAUUAUAAGAAGAAUAAAUAAAGAGAGCAUAAUAUACAUUAAAUUUUUCUUACCUCUUGCUUUGUGAAUGAAAACAAUAAUUAUUUAUAGCUAAAUGGGAAAUAUAUAAACUAACAUUUUGACCAUUGAGAAGUUAUCUACUCGGCCAAGUGAUGACACCUCAAAAGUUGGUGGCUCCACAUGGCAUCAUUUUAGUAUGGUGAGUGAUGACACUUAAAGGGUGACCCACAUGACAUCCAUUUAGUUUUACAAUACUCCAAUUUGGAUGUCCAUGUUAAAGAAAAGUUGAAAAAACAAGAAUUUACAUAGAUAUUCAAAAUACUCAUUGUUUGCUGCUUCACUAAAAACCUUUGUAGAAAAACCAAGUGGGACGAAACCUAGAUUAAAGGAAAAAAGAGUGCAAUAUGUAUUUAACUCCCCCCGAUUAAGAUUACGAUUCAGAUGCUUAAGUCUGCACAUUUCAAUAUUUUGCACCAUCUUCUCGAGAGUUGAGACUGAUAAAACUUUGAUGAAUAAAUCUGCUGGAUUAUCACUCGAACAAAUUUGUUGUAUAUCAAUAUCAUCAUUUUUCUGAACUUUCUAAAACAUACAAGAAUGAAUAGAAAAAAUCAUAGAAC
rnacentral:lncRNA from 1 species